rnacentral:misc_RNA from 1 species
AAUGAGAGCUGUUAUUCAAUCAAAUAAUAAUAUAUAUAAUGAUCAACUGAUACAAUCUAUUCCUAUAUAACCAAAAAUCCACAAGCGCACCAUGUGCUGAUGCAAAUGAAGCCCUAUUGAUCUAAAUUCUUUGAUUUAUCAUCUUUUUUCUGGCUAGCAUGACUCUCUGGCUGCUCAACAGGAUUUUCAUCAGCCGGCCACUUCUGAAUACCCGAACUUCCUGCCACUUGUGCAGAACCUAAAUCCCAGAUAUCUGAGAAACCACCAGUUGAUCCUAACUCUGGCACAUCAUAGUUGACAAGAUUACCCCAUAACUCUUGGCUAGAACUAGACAUACCAGCUUGGUUGUCAAAUCCCAUGCUCCAUACAUCCUCUUGUUUCAUAAUGCUUUCAAUCCCAGUACAUGAGAAUUCCAGAAAAUUCUUCUCUGUUGCCAAAACCUCAGGGAAAGAAACGAAAUAUUCAGGAGCAACUUCUUGUUCUGGACUGAUAACAUUCUUUCCUUUAAUCUGGGGAUCUUCACUCCCCAAGUUUGAUUUGCCUUCUUGAAACUGCUCUGGAGUUUUGAUAUAUCCUUGGGCCAUUGCUAGUUCAUCUGACAUGGCAAACUCAUUAGAUGGAACAUUCUCAAGUUGAAAAGCCAUGCCUUCAACAUCUUUACCCAUUUCUACCAUCUCUUGUAAGAUGUAAUCUGGAGUUUGUUCAACAGGAGCAGGGUUUACAUCUGGGACUACAGCGGAUGAUGAUAGGUUUGUCCACUCAGGUCUGUACCUCACAAUCUGCCCUUCCAUAGGUGAUUCAGAUUGUCCUGGCUCAUGGUGCUGUUGCUCGACAAACUUCCUUUUCAUCCUUGAUGAACCAAUAUCUCCCUGUUUCUUAUUUUGCCUAAGGCGGGCCAAGAA